UAAACUCGGGGGACUGCUGACUAUAACCAUUUCUCAAAACAGAGGAAGGUUGCGGCAAUAACAGGUCUGUGAUGCCCUCAGAUGUCCCGGGCUGCACACGUGCUACAAUGAGUGGCGCAAUGUGCUAAUGUUUAAGGGAUAAGAGUGUGGUCAGUAGAACGUCGGGAUUUCCCCUGACGUCUCCCCCGCACGAUUAUCAGCCUUCCCUUAACAGGGCGGGCAACCUUUUCAAAAUACUGGUUUGAUGUUAAAGUAUUGAGUCGUUUUUUUUGGAUGGUGGUUUGUUAACCAAUACCAUCCGGCAACUGCUCGCGAGUUUGUGGUUCUGGCGACUCAUGGUGGGGACCGACGUUUGUAAUUUUUUGUCGCGUGUUAACUAGGAAUGCCUUGUACUGUCGAUUCACUA
rnacentral:rRNA from 1 species